GUGUCAGCAGCCGCGGUAAUACAGAGGUCCCGAGCGUUGUUCGGAUUCACUGGGCGUAAAGGGUGCGUAGGUGGUGAGGUAAGUCGGAUGUGAAAUCUCCAGGCUCAACCUGGAAACUGCAUUGGAAACUACCUUGCUUGAGGGUUUGAGGGGGGACUGGAAUUCUCGGUGUAGCAGUGAAAUGCGUAGAUAUCGAGAGGAACACCAGUGGCGAAGGCGAGUCCCUGGAAAACACCUGACACUGAGGCACGAAAGCUAGGGGAGCAAACAGGAUUAGAUACCCUGGUAGUCCUAGCCCUAAACGGUGCUUGCUUGCUGUAAGUGGAAUCGACCCCACUUGUGGCGGAGCUAACGCGUUAAGCAAGCCGCCUGGGAAGUACGGUCGCAAGAUUAAA
rnacentral:rRNA from 1 species